GUUAUAUGGUCAAGUGAAGAAGCGCAUACGGUGGAUGCCUUGGCAGUCAGAGGCGAUGAAAGACGUGGUAGCCUGCGAAAAGCUUCGGGGAGUCGGCAAACAGACUUUGAUCCGGAGAUCUCUGAAUGGGGGAACCCACCUAGGAUAACCUAGGUAUCUUGUACUGAAUCCAUAGGUGCAAGAGGCGAACCAGGGGAACUGAAACAUCUAAGUACCCUGAGGAAAAGAAAUCAACCGAGAUUCCCUUAGUAGUGGCGAGCGAACGGGGAUUAGCCCUUAAGCUUCAUUGAUUUUAGCGGAACGCUCUGGAAAGUGCGGCCAUAGUGGGUGAUAGCCCCGUACGCGAAAGGAUCUUUGAAGUGAAAUCGAGUAGGACGGAGCACGAGAAACUUUGUCUGAACAUGGGGGACCAUCCUCCAAGGCUAAAUACUACUGACUGACCGAUAGUGAACCAGUACCGUGAGGGAAAGGCGAAAAGAACCCCGGAGAGGGGAGUGAAAUAGAACCUGAAACCGUAUGCGUACAAGCAGUGGGAGCCUACUUGUUAGGUGACUGCGUACCUUUUGUAUAAUGGGUCAGCGACUUAUAUUCAGUGGCAAGCUUAACCGUAUAGGGUAGGCGUAGCGAAAGCGAGUCUUAAUAGGGCGUUUAGUCGCUGGGUAUAGACCCGAAACCGGGCGAUCUAUCCAUGAGCAGGUUGAAGGUUAGGUAACACUGACUGGAGGACCGAACCCACUCCCGUUGAAAAGGUAGGGGAUGACUUGUGGAUCGGAGUGAAAGGCUAAUCAAGCUCGGAGAUAGCUGGUUCUCCUCGAAAGCUAUUUAGGUAGCGCCUCAUGUAUCACUCUGGGGGGUAGAGCACUGUUUCGGCUAGGGGGUCAUCCCGACUUACCAAACCGAUGCAAACUCCGAAUACCCAGAAGUGCCGAGCAUGGGAGACACACGGCGGGUGCUAACGUCCGUCGUGAAAAGGGAAACAACCCAGACCGCCAGCUAAGGUCCCAAAGUUGUGGUUAAGUGGUAAACGAUGUGGGAAGGCUUAGACAGCUAGGAGGUUGGCUUAGAAGCAGCCACCCUUUAAAGAAAGCGUAAUAGCUCACUAGUCGAGUCGGCCUGCGCGGAAGAUGUAACGGGGCUCAAACCACACACCGAAGCUGCGGGUGUCACGUAAGUGACGCGGUAGAGGAGCGUUCUGUAAGCCUGUGAAGGUGAGUUGAGAAGCUUGCUGGAGGUAUCAGAAGUGCGAAUGCUGACAUGAGUAACGACAAUGGGUGUGAAAAACACCCACGCCGAAAGACCAAGGGUUCCUGCGCAACGUUAAUCGACGCAGGGUUAGUCGGUUCCUAAGGCGAGGCUGAAAAGCGUAGUCGAUGGGAAACAGGUUAAUAUUCCUGUACUUCUGGUUACUGCGAUGGAGGGACGGAGAAGGCUAGGCCAGCUUGGCGUUGGUUGUCCAAGUUUAAGGUGGUAGGCUGAAAUCUUAGGUAAAUCCGGGGUUUCAAGGCCGAGAGCUGAUGACGAGUCGUCUUUUAGAUGACGAAGUGGUUGAUGCCAUGCUUCCAAGAAAAGCUUCUAAGCUUCAGGUAACCAGGAACCGUACCCCAAACCGACACAGGUGGUCGGGUAGAGAAUACCAAGGCGCUUGAGAGAACUCGGGUGAAGGAACUAGGCAAAAUGGCACCGUAACUUCGGGAGAAGGUGCGCCGGCUAGGGUGAAGGAUUUACUCCGUAAGCUCUGGCUGGUCGAAGAUACCAGGCCGCUGCGACUGUUUAUUAAAAACACAGCACUCUGCAAACACGAAAGUGGACGUAUAGGGUGUGACGCCUGCCCGGUGCCGGAAGGUUAAUUGAUGGGGUUAGCGCAAGCGAAGCUCUUGAUCGAAGCCCCGGUAAACGGCGGCCGUAACUAUAACGGUCCUAAGGUAGCGAAAUUCCUUGUCGGGUAAGUUCCGACCUGCACGAAUGGCGUAACGAUGGCGGCGCUGUCUCCACCCGAGACUCAGUGAAAUUGAAAUCGCUGUGAAGAUGCAGUGUAUCCGCGGCUAGACGGAAAGACCCCGUGAACCUUUACUGUAGCUUUGCACUGGACUUUGAGCCUGCUUGUGUAGGAUAGGUGGGAGGCUUUGAAGCGUGGACGCCAGUUCGCGUGGAGCCAUCCUUGAAAUACCACCCUGGCAUGCUUGAGGUUCUAACUCUGGUCCGUGAUCCGGAUCGAGGACAGUGUAUGGUGGGCAGUUUGACUGGGGCGGUCUCCUCCUAAAGAGUAACGGAGGAGUACGAAGGUGCGCUCAGACCGGUCGGAAAUCGGUCGUAGAGUAUAAAGGCAAAAGCGCGCUUGACUGCGAGACAGACACGUCGAGCAGGUACGAAAGUAGGUCUUAGUGAUCCGGUGGUUCUGUAUGGAAGGGCCAUCGCUCAACGGAUAAAAGGUACUCCGGGGAUAACAGGCUGAUACCGCCCAAGAGUUCAUAUCGACGGCGGUGUUUGGCACCUCGAUGUCGGCUCAUCACAUCCUGGGGCUGAAGCCGGUCCCAAGGGUAUGGCUGUUCGCCAUUUAAAGUGGUACGCGAGCUGGGUUUAGAACGUCGUGAGACAGUUCGGUCCCUAUCUGCCGUGGACGUUUGAGAUUUGAGAGGGGCUGCUCCUAGUACGAGAGGACCGGAGUGGACGAACCUCUGGUGUUCCGGUUGUCACGCCAGUGGCAUUGCCGGGUAGCUAUGUUCGGAAAAGAUAACCGCUGAAAGCAUCUAAGCGGGAAACUUGCCUCAAGAUGAGAUCUCACUGGGAACUUGAUUCCCCUGAAGGGCCGUCGAAGACUACGACGUUGAUAGGCUGGGUGUGUAAGCGUUGUGAGGCGUUGAGCUAACCAGUACUAAUUGCCCGUGAGGCUUGACCAUAUAACACCCAAACA
rnacentral:rRNA from 1 species